CUACGGGGUGCAGCAGUUGGGAAUAUUGCGCAAUGGGGGAAAUCCUGACGCAGCGACGCCGUGUGAGCGAAGAAGGCCUUCGGGUUGUAAAGCUCUGUCAGAAGGGAAGAAAGCAUAGGUGAAGAGCCCAUGUUGACGGUACCUUCAGAGGAAGCACCGGCUAACUCUGUGCCAGCAGCCGCGGUAAUACAGAGGGUGCAAGCGUUGUUCGGAAUCACUGGGCGUAAAGAGUUCGUAGGCGGACCAAUUAGUAUGGGGUUAAAGACCGGGGCCCAACCUCGGAGUUGCUCUGUAACGGGUUGGUCUAGAGUACUGGAGAGGAUAGCAGAAUUCCUGGUGUAGAGGUGAAAUUCGUAGAUAUCAGGAGGAAUACCAGAGGCGAAGGCGGCUAUCUGGCCAGGCAUUGACGCUAAAGAACGAAAGCGUGGGGAGCAAACAGGAUUAGAUACCCGAGUAGUC
rnacentral:rRNA from 1 species